AAUAACCAAAUAAACUACUAUAAAUUUCUUCCUAAGAUUCAGAAGUCUAAACUCUUUAACAAACAGUGUAGCAACACCAGGUUAGAGAAAAAGGUAAAACAUAAUGCUUCAAUUCCGCUCUUGCCUCCAUUAGUAUUUCCUUUUACAAGAAACAUAACCCACUUUAGAAUAUAACACAGUUAGCACAAAAAGUAAGUUCCAAACCAACCAAGUACUGUAAAAAAUAAAUAAGAAAGCUAUUGAGAUCAGUGAAUGAGCCAAGUUCACAGUUCAUUUACUUUCCAUGGGCAGUUUCUGAUGGACUGGAGAGCGACAUUUAACAAGAUACCUCAAACAAGAAAGUUACACAACCAACACUUUUCUCAAUAGUGUAAAAAAAAUUUACUUACCUUUUACAGUUGCUGAUGAGGAUCGAGGAGGCGAGGAUUGAGAACUGAGAAAGACUGAGGACUGAAGAAGACAGAGUAUUGAGGACAACCAAGUUGCUGACAGCGUUGAGAGCCGAUGGACUGGAGAGCGACGGCCGAAGAUUGCGUGGAGAGCGACGACCAACGAUUGUGUGGAGACUGGAGAGAGAGACUAGAGAGCUACAGUGAGGUGAGGAGGAGUCGGCGACUCAGCGUUGCAAGUGAAGAUCGAUGACCCGAGUUAGCCACGAUGGUUAAUCGGUCGAUGUCGAGAGGAGAUCAGGAGAGUGGAGGUUGGACGAUGGACAGUGGACCCGCUGGAAGUGGUGGAGCUCAGUGCUCAGAGAAGAGGCACAGGCAUGUGUGACGGGAGGGUGAGGGCGGCGUGAAAUUGAGAUUACAGAUUAGCGUCUCUACUCU
rnacentral:lncRNA from 1 species